CAGCAGCCGCGGUAAUACAGAGGGUGCGAGCGUUAACCGGAAUUACUGGGCGUAAAGCGAGUGUAGGUGGCUCAUUAAGUCACAUGUGAAAUCCCCGGGCUUAACCUGGGAACUGCAUGUGAUACUGGUGGUGCUAGAAUAUGUGAGAGGGAAGUAGAAUUCCAGGUGUAGCGGUGAAAUGCGUAGAGAUCUGGAGGAAUACCGAUGGCGAAGGCAGCUUCCUGGCAUAAUAUUGACACUGAGAUUCGAAAGCGUGGGUAGCAAACAGGAUUAGAUACCCUGGUAGUCCACGCCGUAAACGAUGUCUACUAGCCGUUGGGGUCCUUGAGACUUUAGUGGCGCAGUUAACGCGAUAAGUAGACCGCCUGGGGAGUACGGCCGCAAGGUUAAAACUCAAAUAAAUUGACGG
rnacentral:rRNA from 1 species